rnacentral:ncRNA from 1 species
GAAAAUCACCCUGUGGCAGUCAAGUAUGAGCAAAAUUACUUCAACCUUUUGAUGUCGGCUUUUCCUGUCAUCACAAAAGAAAAUGCGCCAAGCAUUGGUCAGUUUACCCAUUAACAAUGAACACGAGCUGUGUGGGGACUGUCAUGAGACAAGUU